AUACGUAGGGCGCGAGCGUUGUACGGAAUUACUGGGUGUAAAGGGAGCGUAGGCGGGAGUGCAAGUCAGAUGUGAAAUACCGGGGCUUAACCCCGGAGCUGCAUUUGAAACUGCGGUUCUUGAGGGAAGUAGAGGCAAGCGGAAUUCCUGGUGUAGCGGUGAAAGGCGUAGAUAUCAGGAGGAACACCGGUGGCGAAGGCGGCUUGCUGGGCUUUUACUGACGCUGAGGCUCGAAAGCGUGGGUAGCAAACAGGAUUAGAUACCCUGGUAGUCCACGCUGUAAACGAUGAUUACUAGGUGUGGGGGGACUGACCCCUUCCGUGCCGCAGUUAACACAAUAAGUAAUCCACCUGGGGAGUACGGCCGCAAGGUUGAAACUCAAAUGAAUUGACGGGG
rnacentral:rRNA from 1 species